UACAGAGGUCUCAAGCGUUGUUCGGAUUCAUUGGGCGUAAAGGGUGCGUAGGCGGCUUUGUAAGUCAGUGGUGAAAUAUGGCAGCUUAACUGUCAGGGUGCCAUUGAUACUGCAGAGCUUGAGUACAGAUGAGGUAGGCGGAAUUGACGGUGUAGCGGUGAAAUGCUUAGAUAUCGUCAAGAACACCUAUAGCGAAGGCAGCUUACUAGGCUGUAACUGACGCUGAGGCACGAAAGUGUGGGGAUCAAACAGG
rnacentral:rRNA from 1 species